UCCACGCAUGACGGGUGCAAUGGUGAACCGU
rnacentral:piRNA from 1 species